UCACCGGACUCGAUCUCUUCCCUAAUAAAACCAACCCAAAACAUUCAAAAGGUUACUUCAAUCCAUAUGCCAACUAGAAAUGAACCCGCAGAAUCACAUAAUCCAUCGAUCAAAUUUGUAUAUUGCACAGUUUGAACGAUUCAUAAGCUAUGCCUAGACUGCAAAAUAACACCAAUGAAAUGAAAUGCAAUUCGUACCAAAAGUCAAAAAAUUAAAGAACUAAUUUAUCUGGGGCUUCAAAGCAAUUUCAAUUUCCCAAUACUAUUAACAACAAUUAUAAACAAUAAAAGUAAAAGGUGGAUUGCAAGGGCAAAAAACUGAAACAAGGGGGUACGUUACCUGAAACCGUUCAUG
rnacentral:misc_RNA from 1 species